rnacentral:lncRNA from 1 species
GCUGAAAAUUCAGCCUCUCUAAACGUUAAUAAAUUGCUUCUGCGGCUGAAAAUUAACGCAUGCGCAAAUUUCAUACAUUCUUCUGUUUGUUUUGAUUUCAAGUUUUGGUUUUUGUAAAGCGACAUUUAAACUUAAUGUGAAUUGACGAGUGACAAAGCUAAAAAUAAUAGUAAUAUGUUACAAGUUAUGUCUACAAAAAUAUUUAAAUCCAAUAAAUGAAGAAGUAAAGAAACCUGAUUUAGAAAUUAUGUUAUCUAUAUUACAAGAUUAUAUUACUAUAUUACAAGACCCUGACUUUGUAUAAACAGUAAACCAAACUGUUUACUACUUAUGGAAAUCAUUGUGAAUUGACCUGACUUAGCAAAAAGAUUCAACUUAUGUUUAAGAAAAUCAACUCAAGACAAUCAUAAACAAAGAUAAUUCGAAAACGACCAAAGUACAGGAAUAAAUAAUGAAAGUCGAUAAAAUGAAGAAUGACAAAUUCAAGUCAUAAACAUUAUAAAAAAGAUAAACAUUUCUUUAACAAAAAUUGUUGUUUAAUAUUUUUGAAGCACUAAAUGAAAUA